rnacentral:rRNA from 1 species
AGAGUUUGAUCCUGGCUCAGGACGAACGCUGGCGGCGUGCUUAACACAUGCAAGUCGAGCGGAAAGGCCCUUCGGGGUACUCGAGCGGCGAACGGGUGAGUAACACGUGAGUAAUCUGCCCCUAGCUCUGGGAUAGCUCCGGGAAACCGGGAUUAAUACCGGAUAUGACCACUUUAGACAUCUGUUGUGGUGGAAAGUUUUUCGGCUGGGGAUGAGCUCGCGGCCUAUCAGCUUGUUGGUGGGGUAAUGGCCUACCAAGGCGACGACGGGUAGCCGGCCUGAGAGGGCGACCGGCCACACUGGGACUGAGACACGGCCCAGACUCCUACGGGAGGCAGCAGUGGGGAAUAUUGCGCAAUGGGCGGAAGCCUGACGCAGCGACGCCGCGUGGGGGAUGAAGGCCUUCGGGUUGUAAACCCCUUUCAGCAGGGACGAAGCGGAAGUGACGGUACCUGCAGAAGAAGCGCCGGCUAACUACGUGCCAGCAGCCGCGGUAACACGUAGGGCGCAAGCGUUGUCCGGAAUUAUUGGGCGUAAAGAGCUCGUAGGUGGUCUGUUGCGUCCGCUGUGAAAACUCGGGGCUUAACCCCGAGCCUGCAGUGGAUACGGGCAGACUAGAGGUAGGUAGGGGAGAAUGGAAUUCCUGGUGUAGCGGUGAAAUGCGCAGAUAUCAGGAGGAACACCGGUGGCGAAGGCGGUUCUCUGGGCCUUACCUGACACUGAGGAGCGAAAGCGUGGGGAGCGAACAGGAUUAGAUACCCUAGUAGUCC